rnacentral:misc_RNA from 1 species
GUUUGCUCCCUCAAUUCCCUCUUCUUCCUCUAUAAUUCACGUUCAAUGUUAAGCUCGAACCGCAAGUGUUAGGAGUUAAAGAUAUAGGUUGCUAUUAGUAGUUGUAUGAAUACCAAAUAUCCUCUUGUAAUCUGAUAUUUGAAUCAAUAAACGAGAAUUAUCUUUCUUCUCUAGAACUCUUUUCCCUCUCUUCUUCUACUUGCUCCCUUAUCUCUUCUAUUUUCUCUCUCAAUUCCAUCUUCUUCCUCUCUAAUUCACCUUCACUGUUAAGCCCAAAUCACAGGUCAUAACAUUUGGUAUUAGAGCAGUAGAUUUUGUGAGAUCAAUGCUUCCUCUCUUCCCUUCUACUUUAUCUUUCCCUUAAACUCUUAUUCUCCUUCUUAAACUCUUAUUCUCCUUCUUCUUCAUCUUUUUCUUCAACCCUAGGGUUUGUUCUCUCUUUCUUAUUCUUUUUUAUCCAU